UACAGAGGUCUCAAGCGUUGUUCGGAUUCAUUGGGCGUAAAGGGAGCGUAGGUGGCGAGGUUAGUCAGGUGUGAAAUCUCGGGGCUCAACCCCGGAAACUGCACUUGAUACUGCCUUGCUAGAGUACUGGAGAGGAGAUUGGGAAUUUACGGUGUAGCAGUGAAAUGCGUAGAUAUCGUAAGGAAGACCAGUGGCGAAGGCGAAUCUCU
rnacentral:rRNA from 1 species